CAGGCUUCAGUGUAAGACCCUUGACUAUGUUCGGUAGUUUGUUCGUUAUCAAACUACCGAACUAGACCCUGAUUCUCUGGAACUGUUUUUGGCAUGGUCAAAUAAAUGACUUCCAGGAAAUUCCUGAACCCCUGAACUGAUCUGGGUGAUUUUUGGACACGUUGGUGACUCAGAUCAGGGCUUUCAGGGGAUGUAACUUUUGUG